rnacentral:rRNA from 1 species
UACGUAGGGGGCAAGCGUUGUCCGGAUUUAUUGGGCGUAAAAGGCUUGUAGGUGGCCACGCCAAGUCGGAUGUGAAAUCUCCCGGCUCAACUGGGAGGGGUCAUUCGAUACUGGCGGGCUCGAGGCCGGUAGGGGGAAGUGGAAUUCCCGGUGUAGUGGUGGAAUGCGUAGAUAUCGGGAGGAACACCAGUGGCGAAGGCGGCUUCCUGGACCGGUUCUGACACUGAGGAGCGAAAGCGUGGGGAGCGAUCUGG